AAGACUAUAGACCUGCGGAGUACCUGCGGAGGGAUCAUUACAGAGUUAUCAAACUCCUAAACCCUUUGUUAAUUUACCUAUUUGUUUCUUCGGCAGGUGGUCCCUGGGAGGGUCCUGCAGCCUGUUAAGGUACCUGCCGAAGGUCAUAACUCGGUUUUACAUUAUGUGUCUAAGUCUUACUAUAAAAUAAGUCAAAACUUUCAACAAUGGAUCUCU
rnacentral:misc_RNA from 1 species